rnacentral:rRNA from 1 species
UACAGAGGUCCCGAGCGUUGUUCGGAUUUAUUGGGCGUAAAGGGUGCGUAGGUGGCAAAGUAAGUUGGAUGUGAAAUCCUGGGGCUUAACCUCAGAAUUGCAUUCAAUACUGCUUAGCUAGAGAGCUGUAGAGGAGACUGGAAUUUACGGUGUAGCAGUGAAAUGCGUAGAUAUUGGGAGGAACACCAGUGGCGAAGGCGGCUCACUGGACCUGAUCUGACACUGAGGUGCGAAAGCUAGGGUAGCAAACGGG